rnacentral:rRNA from 1 species
UACAGAGGGUGCGAGCGUUAAUCGGAAUUACUGGGCGUAAAGCGUGCGUAGGCGGCCUGUUAAGUCGAACGUGAAAUCCCCGGGCUCAACCCGGGAACUGCGUCCGAUACUGGCAGGCUUGAAUCCGGGAGAGGGAUGCGGAAUUCCAGGUGUAGCGGUGAAAUGCGUAGAUAUCUGGAGGAACACCGGUGGCGAAGGCGGCAUCCUGGACCGGCAUUGACGCUGAGGCGCGAAAGCCAGGGGAGCAAACGGG